rnacentral:rRNA from 1 species
GACGUAGGGCGCAAGCGUUGUCCGGAAUUAUUGGGCGUAAAGAGCUCGUAGGCGGUUUGUUGCGUCGGCUGUGAAAUCCCGAGGCUCAACCUCGGGUCUGCAGUCGAUACGAGCAAACUAGAGUGUUGCAGGGGGAGACUGGAAUUCCUGGUGUAGCGGUGAAAUGCGCAGAUAUCAGGAGGAACACCGGUGGCGAAGGCGGCAUCCUGGACCGGUAUUGA